CAGUCGCCGCGGUAAUACGUAGGUGGCAAGCGUUGUCCGGAAUUAUUGGGCGUAAAGGGCUCGUAGGCGGUUUCUUAAGUCUGAUGUGAAAGCCCCCGGCUCAACCGGGGAGGGUCAUUGGAAACUGGGAAACUUGAGUGCAGAAGAGGAGAGUGGAAUUCCACGUGUAGCGGUGAAAUGCGUAGAGAUGUGGAGGAACACCAGUGGCGAAGGCGACUCUCUGGUCUGUAACUGACGCUGAGGAGCGAAAGCGUGGGGAGCGAACAGGAUUAGGUACCCCUGUAGUCCCUGUCUCUUAUAC
rnacentral:rRNA from 1 species